GACGAACGCUGGCGGCGUGCUUAACACAUGCAAGUCGAACGGAAAGGCCCUGCUUGCUGGGUACUCGAGUGGCGAACGGGUGAGUAACACGUGGGUGAUUUGCCCUGCACGUCGGGAUAAGCCUGGGAAACUGGGUCUAAUACCGGAUAGGAGCCAUUUUGAGUGUGAUGGUUGGAAAGUUUUUUCGGUGUAGGAUGAGCUCGCGGCCUAUCAGCUUGUUGGUGGGGUAAUGGCCUACCAAGGCGGCGACGGGUAGCCGGACUGAGAGGGUGGACGGCCAUCCUGAGUCUUACGGGCGGCCCAGGCUGCGACGAGUGGCAGCUGUGGGGAAGAUUGCUCAAUCGGCGCCAGGCUGGUGAAGAGACGCCUCGGAGGGGAUAACGGUCUUCGGGUUGAAAACUCCUUUCGCGAGGGACGAUGCUUUUUGUGACGGUACCUAGAUAAGAAGCACCGGCUAACUACGUG
rnacentral:rRNA from 1 species